rnacentral:rRNA from 1 species
GGCUGAAAUUCGCCUUCAUGAAGUCGGAAUUGCUAGUAAUGGCAGGUCAGCAUACUGCCGUGAAUACGUUCCCGGGCCUUGUACACACCGCCCGUCACACCAUGAGAGUCGGGAACACCCGAAGUCCGUAGCCUAACCGCAAGGGGGGCGCGGCCGAAGGUGGGUCCGGUAAUUGGGGUGAAGUCGUAACAAGGUAGC